rnacentral:rRNA from 1 species
AGUGAACGCUGGCGGUAGGCCUAACACAUGCAAGUCGAACGGCAGCACAGGAGAGCUUGCUCUCUGGGUGGCGAGUGGCGGACGGGUGAGGAAUACAUCGGAAUCUACCUUUUCGUGGGGGAUAACGUAGGGAAACUUACGCUAAUACCGCAUACGACCUUCGGGUGAAGGCAGGGGACCUUCGGGCCUUGCGCGGAUAGAUGAGCCGAUGUCGGAUUAGCUAGUUGGCGGGGUAAAGGCCCACCAAGGCGACGAUCCGUAGCUGGUCUGAGGUGAGGAUCAGCCACACUGGAACAGAGACACGGUCCAGACUCCCACGGGAGGCAGCAGUGGGGAAUAGUGGACAAUGGGCGCAAGCCUGAUCCAGCCAUACCGCGUGGGUGAAGAAGGCCUUCGGGUUGUAAAGCCCUUUUGUUGGGAAAGAAAUCCAGCUGGCUAAUACCCGGUUGGGAUGACGGUACCCAAAGAAUAAGCACCGGCUAACUUCGUGCCAGCAGCCGCCGUAA